rnacentral:rRNA from 1 species
AUUGAACGCUGGCGGCAGGCCUAACACAUGCAAGUCGAGCGAGCGGCGGACGGUUGAGGAUUGUCUGGGAAAAUGCCUGAUGGAGCGGGAUAACUAUUGGAAACGGUAGCGUAAACCGCAUACCAUUACAUGUGCCCAGAUGGGAUUGGCUAGUAGGUGGGGUAACGGUUCACCUAGGCGACGAUCCCUAGCGCGUCUGAGAGGAUGACCAGCCAGACUGGGAAUGAGAGACGGUCCAGAAUCCUUCGGGAGGCAGCAGUGGGGAAUAUUGCACAAUGGGCGAAAGCCUGAUGCAGCCAUGCCGCGUGUGGGAAGAAGGCCUGCGGGUUGUAAAGCACUUUCAGCAGGGAGGCGUUACCCGCAGAAGAAGCACCGGAUAACUCCGUGCCAGCAGACGCGGUAAUUC